rnacentral:tRNA from 1 species
GAAGGUAUAGCUCAAGAGGUAGAGCGCAUGCUUGACAUGCGCGAGGUCCCAGGUUCAAUCCCCAGCACCUCCU